UUAGGAAUCUUCCCCAAUGGGCGCAAGCCUGACGCAGCAACGCCGCGUGGGGGAUGAAGGCCUUCGGGUUGUAAACCCCUUUCAGGAGGGAAGAAAUUGACGGUACCUCCAGAAGAAGCACCGGCCAACUACGUGCCAGCAGCCGCGGUAAUACGUAGGGUGCAAGCGUUAUCCGGAAUCAUUGGGCGUAAAGAGCUCGUAGGCGGUUCAGCAAGUCGGCUGUGAAAGUCCGAGGCUUAACCUCGGAACUGCAGUCGAUACUGCUGUGACUCGAGUCCGGUAGAGGAGAAUGGAAUUCCCGGUGUAGCGGUGAAAUGCGCAGAUAUCGGGAGGAACACCAGUAGCGAAGGCGGUUCUCUGGGCCGGCACUGACGCUGAGGAGCGAAAGCGUGGGGAGCAAACAGGAUUAGAUACCCCCGUAGUCC
rnacentral:rRNA from 1 species